GUUAAAGAAAUAUAUUAAUAUACCUUUUGUAUCAGGGUAGUUUAAAUAUAUUAAAUAAAUAAAAAUCUCGAAUCAAUAAUGAGCUAAGUAGAUUAUUUUUGUUAUAUUAAAUAAUUAAUUAUAUUGGUGAUGAAAUGUUAUCGUAUUUUGGGUUAUCUAGUUACUUAAAUAAUUUAAUUUAUAAUUAGUUAUUAACUAAUUUAAUAGGAAAGUUAAUUUUUUUAUUUUUUUAAACUGAGUGUUUGUUUUUAUUAAUUAGGUUUAAUAUUAAUCAUAUUUAUAUAUUGUUUUAAAUAAUUUAUUAUUUAAAUGUUUAAUGUUAUAUUUAUUUAGUUAUUUGAAUUAUUAUUUAUUUUUUAAAAAUAAUGAAUUAAUUAGUAUUAGGUUUAUAAGUUAUAUUUAACUCGUAGUUUAUUUGAUAGUUUAACAAAAACAUUUUUUUUAGUUAAUAAAAAGUAAGGCCUGCCCAGUGAUUUUAAACGGCUGCAGUAAUUUAACUGUACUAAGGUAGCAUAAUCAUUUGUUUUUUAAUUGAAAACUGGUAUGAAUGGUCUUACAAAUAAUUGUUUGUAAUAUAAUUAUAUAGUAAUUUUUAUUUUAAAUAAAAAUAUUUAAAUAUAAUAAAGGGACGAUAAGACCCUAAAAGCUUUUUUAGUUAUAUAAUUUAUAUAAAUUAAAUAAAUAAAUUUAGUUGGGGUAACAUAAAUAUAAAUUUUAUUUUAAGAUUUAACAAAUAUAAAUGAUUAUUUGAUCUUUUAUAUAAAGAUAAAUAGAGAUAGUUACUUUAGGGGAUAACAGCGUAAUAGUUUUAGAAAGGCCAUAUUAAUAAAAUUGAUUACGACCUCGAUGUUGAAUUAAAAUAUCUAUAGAUUGUAGCAGGUUUAUUAGAAGGUUUGUUCAACCUUUUAUUUUUUACAUGAUUUGAGUUCAAAU
rnacentral:rRNA from 1 species